GAUAAAAUAUAGAUUUAGAAGUUGGAACAAUUAUUUAUAUUUCAACAGUCACAAAUGGUGAAUAACUAUCUUUGAUAUGUUAUGGCAUAGUAUGAAGGACGGCCUAUGUAAUUUGUCCUGGUGGGCGUCUUUGUUAAAGAAGCUUUUACGUCAUUUGGAAUGGUAAAUUAUUUUAUUCUCAUAGUAAUCACGUUUUGCUGCAGUUCUUCCUUACUUGUGCCAAAUGUGAUUGGCUUGACAACAAGCACGUGGUGUUUGGGAGGGUGCUGGGUGAUGGCCUUCUGGUUGUCAGGAAGAUUGAAAAUGUAGCCACUGGCCCUAACAACCGACCAAAGCUGGCUUGCGUUAUCGCUGAAUGUGGUGAAAUGUAAAACUUGAGUUACACACUUCUACUCUGUUGCCCAAAAUAUAUACUUCUCUAAUUGCCAUUAUAGAGUUUAACUUCCCUGCCAGUUUCUGCUGAAAUGGAAAGCAGACCAUGAUUUUUAAGGAUGUGAAUCUCUUCAAUACAAUCUACCUUAGGUCCUCGAUAGCAUCUCGGACGUGUUGUCCGUGGAUGCAUGUCAGUUUUAACCCGUUUUAUUUUACCGUGCUUUCAUUUUGUCUUUUCUUUAGCAUAGUUGUUUGUUUUCUUUGUAUUAGGUAGGCGUACUCCUUGCCACUAUUCCUUCCUACUUAAGUUGUAUGCUAUGAGUGUUGUCG